rnacentral:rRNA from 1 species
AUGGCGUCUUCUGGUAAGCUCGUGGGUCUAGCUCUAAUACUGCUGCUCUUCAUGGCGGCGACGAUCAUGGCGGCGGUGGCAGGCGUCGAGUCCUACAGCUUCCCCGUCUUCAACGCCACCACGACGGCCAGCCUGGUUGCCGCCACGAACACGACCGUGGUCGGGCCGGCGGCGCUGCUCUUCCAGCCCGAGAUCGACUCCACCGCGGCCAGCAUCAACGUGUCCGAGGGCUUCCUGCUCCUCCCGGACACGGUCGACGUCUGGCGCGCGGGCGCGGGCGGUGGGCUGCUGCCUGCGCGCGAGGCGUCCUUCAACACGAGCUUCACGGUGGAGAGCUCCGCCACCCCCGUCUCCUUCGUGCUCCUCCUCGACAGGUUCCCGCUGUUCAACAGCCGGACGCGCCUCCGCGGCGCCAACGGCUCGGCCGACGCCGUGCCCGACGCCAACGCCACGGCCAGCGGCCUCGCCGCGGUCGAGGUCGGCGCGGUGAGGUCGUACGAGCCGGAGUCCCCGUACGUCGGCCUCAACGGCACCGUCACGCCCAACGGCCGCCGCGCCGUGGCCGUGUGGGUCGAGUACGACACCGCCGCGCACGUCCUGCGCGUGUACGUCGCGGCUGGCGGGGAGCCGAGGCCGCCCGGAGCCCUCAUCGACGCGCGGCUCUCUCUCGCCGGCCGGCGCACCACGCAGACCGCGAUGGUUGGGUUCUUCGCCGCCACGGUCCGCGAUGUCUUCCUCGGCGUCCGUGACUGGGACCUGACGGUGGACAGGUUAGACGCCGGCGGCAAGAAGAGAACGUCAUGGUGGGUGAUACUCAUCGCGGUGCUCGGGUCCGUGGCAGCCACAGCCGCCAUUGUCACUCUGGUGGUGCGCUACUUCGUGUCGAGGCGCCGGACGCGCAGCAUGGAACCCAAGCAAUAG